GACGAACGCUGGCGGCGUGCUUAACACAUGCAAGUCGAACGGUAAGGCCCUUCGGGGUACACGAGUGGCGAACGGGUGAGUAACACGUGGGUGAUCUGCCCUGCACUUCGGGAUAAGCCUGGGAAACUGGGUCUAAUACCGGAUAGGACUCCGGACUGCAUGGUCUGGGGUGGAAAGCUUUUGCGGUGUGGGAUGGGCCCGCGGCCUAUCAGCUUGUUGGUGGGGUGAUGGCCUACCAAGGCGACGACGGGUAGCCGGCCUGAGAGGGUGACCGGCAACACUGGGACUGAGAUACGGCCCAGACUCCUACGGGGGGCAGCAGUGGGGAAUAUUGCACAAUGGGCGCAAGCCUGAGGCAGCGACGCCGCGUGAGGGAUGACGGCCUUCGGGUUGUAAACCUCUUUCAGCAUCGACGAAGCGAAAGUGACGGUAGGUGCAGAAGAAGGACCGGCCAACUACGUGCCAGCCGCCGCGGUAA
rnacentral:rRNA from 1 species